GCAGUAGCCACGGUAAUACAGAGGGUGCGAGCGUUAAUCGGAUUUACUGGGCGUAAAGCGUGCGUAGGCGGCUUCUUAAGUCGGAUGUGAAAUCCCUGAGCUUAACUUAGGAAUUGCAUUCGAUACUGGGAAGCUAGAGUAUGGGAGAGGAUGGUAGAAUUCCAGGUGUAGCGGUGAAAUGCGUAGAGAUCUGGAGGAAUACCGAUGGCGAAGGCAGCCAUCUGGCCUAAUACUGACGCUGAGGUACGAAAGCAUGGGGAGCAAACAGGAUUAGAGACCCGGGUAGUCCCUGUCUCUUAUAC
rnacentral:rRNA from 1 species